CACAAUGUUAUCCGCAUAGUCUGGACGCCGAGCUACAAAACUGAAUGCUGCAGUCAUCCCUUUAGAAGCUGCGGAGGUUAGAUCAGAAGUACCUGUGAAAGUUGAGAAGAUUUACACAACAACAGUUGUCUCAGUGGAGACUCUUGUUGGCCCCAAAGGCGAAAUCGGAGAGGUCUGCCAUAUUGUGCUUGAUCACGGUGGCAGUUUUAGUUUCAAGGAAGGCCAAUAUCUUUUUAGUACAUUUUCAAUCGAUCAAACGCUAUUUCUCGAUUGCAUCAGGUAGCAGUGGAGAUACUUUUGAUGGCAAGACACUCAGUCUAUGCGUUCGUCGUGCCGAACUGUCGCCAGACAGUGUCAGUAACUUCCUCUGUAAUGUUAAAGCUGGAGACACAGUUGACAUUUCAGGUCCUUUUUGG